rnacentral:rRNA from 1 species
GACGAGUGGUCCUAGCGUUAGUCGGAAUCACUGGGCUUAAAGGGUGCGUAGGCGGGCCAGUAAGUGCCUUGUGAAAGCCCCCGGCUCAACCGGGGAACCGCAGGGCAUACUGCUGGUCUUGAGGAAGCUAGAGGCUGGUGGAACGAUAGGUGGAGCGGUGGAAUGCGUAGAGAUCUAUCGGAACGCCGAUGGUGAAGACAGCCAGCUGGGGCUUUCCUGACGCUGAGGCACGAAAGCGUGGGGAGCAAACAGG